CUUCAGCGUGAGAACAUUUUCUUUCCCACGAGUCAGCGCGCUCCUACACACAGCUCCUGCUAUCCUCCUCCUCUUACCUCCCCCUCCAUUUUGGCUCUGUCUCUCUCUCUGUGUGUGUGUGUGUGUGUAUGUGUGCAUUGUAUGCGUACCAGGCUGUUUAAGGGGUCUCUGUGCUGCACAGUCACUAUAUAUAUGUACAUAUAUACUGUGUGUGUGUGUGUGUGUGUGUGUAGGGCAGCAGCACCCGCCGUAUUGUGUGUAGUGGCACGCCGGGGUCUUGACCUCCAUUUUCUUUUUAUAUGUUUUCAACUGCCCCUCCGCCAUCCCCAUUAUAGUCGACGUAUACAUCAGCGCGAGAGCACAACACAAUUCAUUUCUAAUAAAACAACAACAAAAAAAAAUAAAUAAAAAAAAAAAAAAUAUUGAGGAAGAGGAACCCGCGCCGAUCAAAAGCUUUGCAUAUUCAAAUGAGUAUAGUAUAACGAGAAUAGGCCAAUAUCGAUUGAAUCUGCGGAUAGAGUUCAUUUAUUUCAAUGGCUUCUUUUGUGUGUGUACGCUGUAUUGUGUUUCUUCUUUCUUUUGCCUUUUUUUCUGCUUACUUUUGUUUCAAUUCUGAUUUGAUUUCAUUAUUUCAAUGGCUUCCAUCCCGAAAUGAAACACCUCGACGAGUUGAACGACUCAAAACAAUCGAGAAAUAAAACAGAGGGUGAAAUGUUAACGUUCAACUGGUGGGCCGUUGACCGGGCUCAAUUAGCGCGAGCCAGCCCUUUUUUUUAAAAUCCUCUCAGCUGAUUGAAUUGUUUCUAGAUUUCUAGACAAAUCCAUUUGCCCGUUCAGGUGUCGUGUGUUGCCUCUUUUUUUUGCGAGGUGCGGGUCUUUGUUUUUCCUGCUUCCUCUUGAAUCUCAUCUUCCGCAAGCGCAUCUCUUUCGCCCGUCUGCCAAGGUCGAGCUGAUUGAGAUGACGGGCAUGAGAGGUUGCAACGUCAUCAAUCAGACGCGACAACAAGAGGGAAAACAAGAGAUUUUCUUUUGUCUUGUUUUGUUUUCCCCGUUGUUUAGCGAUAGUGAAGUGGGGAAAAAAAAUAAAGGCAUCACGAAUUUUACCUGCGCUGCUCGUUUCAAGCCUCUCGACUCCGGUGGUUUCAAGUUCGUUUCGCAAUUAAUGUCGUGAUCCAUUAAAUGCGGAAGCGGCGAAAAAAAAAAAUGUAACGAGCUGCCGCUCUGCGACUCGCUUGUCUUGCUUCGUAAUGUCAAACAUGCUCCGUUGAAGAGAAGCACGACAAACAAGAUUUUCAAUGGACCUUUUCCUCCUCCUCCCGCUUCAGCGAAUCGAGUUGAUACACCAAUCACUAGAUGGCGCUGAUCGUGUAAACAGGGAACUGAAGACAAGGCGCGCGCUAUUUGAAUGACUUCAAAAAAAUAAGAGAAGGAAAAAAAAAAAAUUUAUUCUUUCUUUCUUUCCCAUGCGACCGCAACUCAACGCGCGGCAGUUUGGCUUAGCACGUGCCGUCAUCGCCUGCGGCCUAUCUCUCUUGUGUUUGUCUGUAUAGUCGCUCUGUGUGUGUGUGUAUGCCAUCAGCUCUUGCUGCUGCCCCUGCUCCCACAAUGGGAAAGAAACGCUUUAGACUCCUCAACAAACCCACCAAUCUCUUCUCUCUCUCUUCUCUCUCUCUCUCGCUAUUUUAUGGUCGGAGCUGCUUAAUUAUAUGCGCUGCCAUGAGCGCACGGAGUGGGGAGAAAGAGAGACCGCCGGGUCGUGAGAACCAAAAAAAAAAAAAAAAAAACGAAGGGAAAGAAAAGAGAGAGAGAGAGAGAGAUAGGGAGACAAGAGAAAAGACGACUUAACAAAAGACAGAGAGACAGGAGGGGGAAGAAAAAAUAUUUAAAAAAAAAAAAGAAAAAAAGAAUGGACUCGCUUCAAUCAGCUGACCGUGAUUGUUCUCUCUCUCUCUCAAUCUCUUUCUUUUCUUCUCUCACUCACUCUUGUCCCUUACCUGUUAUUUUCUACCUCUCUACUAGUGAUUAUAUGUAUCUAAAAUAAAAAAAAAUAAAAAAUGAGAAGGGAAAAAUAAAGAUUGCGUGAGUGAGGUGAGCGCCACCUGUGAGCUGCUGUUUCAUCUGCGGCAGUGGCGGUUUGAUGGGCCUCUUGUUUUUUUUUCCUAUCCCCACCCCCCAUUUUCCCACAGAAUCUUCUUCUUCGGCAGCAUCUUUCCUUAUUGUUUAAAAAAACACACCUUCCUGUUCAAACACGCAACCGUUUACUCCCUCGGAUUUCGUAUUUUCCUUUUUUCCGAAAUUUCCGGUUGACCUAAAUUUAAAUUGAACUAAAAAAAAAAAAAAAAUUAUUUCUCCCCCACCCCUUGAUUUCAAUUUGACUUCCGGGUAAAAAAAAAAAAAGAAACAACAAUUCUUAUUUACCAUUUAUUUAUUUAUUUUUUAGAUGUGUACUAUAUUUAAAAAAAAAAAAAAAAAAGAACAGGUUGGGUUGGCCAUCAUCAUGUUACGUUAUGGAGAAAUUACGGGCCCAUCAGCACAGGUAGGGACGUAAAGGUAGAAACCAACCUGCGCGCGCGCACUUGACACCUGGCACGUUUUCCCACGGCCUUCGGUAACAAGUGCAACCGACAGGAAGUCGGUUUCUGUUCCUCUUUCUUUCUCUCGGGACACGUCCACAUAUUUUGCCUAUCGUCUGGAAUGUCGCACCUCUCUCUUUUUCUCCGCAAUUUCUCGAUCAGGUCGACAUUUUUUUUUUUUUGCGACUGAAAAAACACAAAAAAAAAUCAAAAAUAAAAGGAAACAAAAUACAAUUUCCUUUUGUUUCUUCUUGUGAUCGCGCAAUUAGCGACCACCUGACAAAUGUCGCACUUCGAUCCCACGAGAUUGUGCGCCCCUCUGUUCGCUCUCUUUCAGUUAUCAGCCGCAAUGAAUCAAUAAAAUAAAGAACGUUGGAGAAUUCGCGUCAUUUGUUUUUAUUUUAUUAAAAUGAAAAACAUGUUCUGAUGUAUUGGAAACAACAAACAGGGUGGGCAAAAUGUCAAUCCAUUUUCGAACCAAAAAAAAAAACAAGAAAUACUUUUGAAUUUUAUUGAAUUUUUUUUUUUUUGUACAUAUUUAUCACAAGAAAUCGGUGGCCACAUGCAUCCAUGUACGGGCUUUCUUUUUUUUUCUAU
rnacentral:lncRNA from 1 species